AUUGAACGCUGGCGGCGUGCUUAACACAUGCAAGUCGAUCGGUAACAGGUGUAGCAAUACAUGCUGACGAGAGGCGGACGGGUGAGUAAUGCUUGGGAAUCUGCCUAUUAGUGGGGGACGAACCCGGGGAAACGUCGGGCUAAUACCGCAUACGCUCUACGGAGGAAAGCCGGGGACCGCAAGGCCUGGCGCUAAUAGAUGAGCCCAAGUCGGAUUAGCUAGUUGGUAGGGUAACGGCCUACCAAGGCGACAAUCCGUAGCUGGUCUGAGAGGACGACCAGCCACACCGGAACUGAGACACGGUCCGGACUCCUACGGGAGGCAGCAGUGGGGAAUAUUGGACAAUGGGGGCAACCCUGAUCCAGCGACGCCGCGUGGGUGAAGAAGCCUGCGGGUUGUAAAAGCCCUUUCGGUGGGGAAGAAAAGUCUCGACCUAAUACGUCGGGACCUUGACGUAACCCACUAAAGAAGCACCGGCUAACUCUGUGCCAGCA
rnacentral:rRNA from 1 species